rnacentral:rRNA from 1 species
AGUGAACGCUGGCGGUAGGCCUAACACAUGCAAGUCGAACGGCAGCACAGGAGAGCUUGCUCUCUGGGUGGCGAGUGGCGGACGGGUGAGGAAUACAUCGGAAUCUACUUUUUCGUGGGGGAUAACGUAGGGAAACUUACGCUAAUACCGCAUACGACCUACGGGUGAAAGCAGGGGAUCUUCGGACCUUGCGCGGUUGAAUGAGCCGAUGUCGGAUUAGCUAGUUGGCGGGGUAAAGGCCCACCAAGGCGACGAUCCGUAGCUGGUCUGAGAGGAUGAUCAGCCACACUGGACCUGAGACACGGUCCAGACUCCUACGGGAGGCAGCAGUGGGGAAUAUUGGACAAUGGGCGCAAGCCUGAUCCAGCCAUACCGCGUGGGUGAAGAAGGCCUUCGGGUUGUAAAGCCCUUUUGUUGGGAAAGAAAUCCAUCUGGUUAAUACCCGGGUGGGAUGACGGUACCCAAAGAAUAAGCACCGGCUAACUUCGUGCCAGCAGCCGCCGUAA